rnacentral:rRNA from 1 species
CAGUCGAGCGGUAGCACAGAGAAGCUUGCUCUCGGGUGACGAGCGGCGGACGGGUGAGUAAUGUCUGGGAAACUGCCUGAUGGAGGGGGAUAACUACUGGAAACGGUAGCUAAUACCGCAUAAUGUCGCAAGACCAAAGUGGGGGACCUUCGGGCCUCAUGCCAUCAGAUGUGCCCAGAUGGGAUUAACUAGUAGGUGGGGUAACGGCUCACCUAGGCGACGAUCCCUAGCUGGGCUGAGAGGAUGACCAGCCACACUGGGAACUGAAACACGGGUCCAGACUCCCUACCGGGAAGGAGCAAUGGGGGAAUAUUGCACAAUGGGGCGCAAGCCUGAAUGCAGCCAUGCCGCGUGUGUUGAAAAAGCCUUUCGGGUUUGUAAAGCACUUUCAGCGGGGGAGAAAGGCGUUUAAGGUUUAAUAAC